rnacentral:misc_RNA from 1 species
AGAUUUUCUCUCCAAGAUCCAAAUUUUCCAUUUCCAGAACUUCACCAGAAAAACGGAAAACAGAAACCCACCACCAAUCACUGCGCUUUCCCUUUUUCCCGGCAAAUUCAUACUAUUUCUUCUUUCCACACUGUUUUUCAAACUCCAGUAGUUGAUCACGAGUUUUCUUAUUUUAACAACUCUGUUAGAGCCCAGAUUUCAUUUCCCUGGAAAGUGGAUUUCUCCUUCAG